rnacentral:rRNA from 1 species
AGUGAACGCUGGCGGUAGGCCUAACGCAUGCAAGUCGAACGGCAGCACAGUAAGAGCUUGCUCUUACGGGUGGCGAGUGGCGGACGGGUGAGGAAUACAUCGGAAUCUACUUUUUCGUGGGGGAUAACGUAGGGAAACUUACGCUAAUACCGCAUACGACCUACGGGUGAAAGCAGGGGAUCUUCGGACCUUGCGCGAUUGAAUGAGCCGAUGUCGGAUUAGCUAGUUGGCGGGGUAAAGGCCCACCAAGGCGACGAUCCGUAGCUGGUCUGAGAGGAUGAUCAGCCACACUGGAACUGAGACACGGUCCAGACUCCUACGGGAGGCAGCAGUGGGGAAUAUUGGACAAUGGGCGCAAGCCUGAUCCAGCCAUACCGCGUGGGUGAAGAAGGCCUUCGGGUUGUAAAGCCCUUUUGUUGGGAAAGAAAAGCAGCAGGUUAAUACCCCGCUGUUCUGACGGUACCCAAAGAAUAAGCACCGGCGAACUUCGU